rnacentral:rRNA from 1 species
AGAGUUUGAUCCUGGCUCAGAUUGAACGCUGGCGGCAGGCCUAACACAUGCAAGUCGAGCGGUAACAGAUCCAGCUUGCUGGAUGCUGACGAGCGGCGGACGGGUGAGUAAUGCAUAGGAAUCUGCCCGAUAGUGGGGGAUAACCUGGGGAAACCCAGGCUAAUACCGCAUACGUCCUACGGGAGAAAGGGGGCUCCGGCUCCCGCUAUGGGAUGAGCCUAUGUCGGAUUAGCUAGUUGGUGAGGUAACGGCUCACCAAGGCCGCGAUCCGUAGCUGGUCUGAGAGGAUGAUCAGCCACAUCGGGACUGAGACACGGCCCGAACUCCUACGGGAGGCAGCAGUGGGGAAUAUUGGACAAUGGGGGCAACCCUGAUCCAGCCAUGCCGCGUGUGUGAAGAAGGCCCUCGGGUUGUAAAGCACUUUCAGCGAGGAAGAACGCCUAGCGGUUAAUACCCGCUAGGAAAGACAUCACUCGCAGAAGAAGCACCGGCUAACUCCGUGCCAGCAGCCGCGGUAAUACGGAGGGUGCGAGCGUUAAUCGGAAUUACUGGGCGUAAAGCGCGCGUAGGUGGCUUGAUAAGCCGGUUGUGAAAGCCCCGGGCUCAACCUGGGAACGGCAUCCGGAACUGUCAAGCUAGAGUGCAGGAGAGGAAGGUAGAAUUCCCGGUGUAGCGGUGAAAUGCGUAGAGAUCGGGAGGAAUACCAGUGGCGAAAGCGGCCUUCUGGACUGACACUGACACUGAGGUGCGAAAGCGUGGGUAGCAAACAGGAUUAGAUACCCUGGUAGUCCACGCCGUAAACGAUGUCGACCAGCCGUUGGGUGCCUAGCGCACUUUG